CUCAGGUGUUGUUGGGUAGGGGAGCGUUCUGUAAGCCUGUGAAGGUGGCCUGUGAGGGUUGCUGGAGGUAUCAGAAGUGCGAAUGCUGACAUAAGUAACGAUAAAGCGGGUGAAAAGCCCGCUCGCCGGAAGACCAAGGGUUCCUGUCCAACGUUAAUCGGGGCAGGGUGAGUCGACCCCUAAGGCGAGGCCGAAAGGCGUAGUCGAUGGGAAACGGGUUAAUAUUCCCGUACUUGGUGUUACUGCGAAGGGGGGACGGAGAAGGCUAUGUUGGCCGGGCGACGGUUGUCCCGGUUUAAGCGUGUAGGUGUGUGUUCCAGGUAAAUCCGGUUCACUUUAACACUGAGGCGUGAUGACGAGGCACUACGGUGCUGAAGCAACAAAUGCCCUGCUUCCAGGAAAAGCCUCUAAGCAUCAGGUAACAUCAAAUCGUACCCCAAACCGACACAGGUGGUCAGGUAGAGAAUACCAAGGCGCUUGAGAGAACUCGGGUGAAGGAACUAGGCAAAAUGGUGCCGUAACUUCGGGAGAAGGCACGCUGACACGUAGGUGAAGUGAUUUACUCAUGGAGCUGAAGUCAGUCGAAGAUACCAGCUGGCUGCAACUGUUUAUUAAAAACACAGCACUGUGCAAACACGAAAGUGGACGUAUACGGUGUGACGCCUGCCCGGUGCCGGAAGGUUAAUUGAUGGGGUCAGCGCAAGCGAAGCUCCUGAUCGAAGCCCCGGUAAACGGCGGCCGUAACUAUAACGGUCCUAAGGUAGCGAAAUUCCUUGUCGGGUAAGUUCCGACCUGCACGAAUGGCGUAAUGAUGGCCAGGCUGUCUCCACCCGAGACUCAGUGAAAUUGAACUCGCUGUGAAGAUGCAGUGUACCCGCGGCAAGACGGAAAGACCCCGUGAACCUUUACUAUAGCUUGACACUGAACAUUGAGCCUUGAUGUGUAGGAUAGGUGGGAGGCUUUGAAGUGUGGACGCCAGUCUGCAUGGAGCCGACCUUGAAAUACCACCCUUUAAUGUUUGAUGUUCUAACGUGGACCCGUGAUCCGGGUUGCGGACAGUGUCUGGUGGGUAGUUUGACUGGGGCGGUCUCCUCCUAAAGAGUAACGGAGGAGCACGAAGGUUGGCUAAUCCUGGUCGGACAUCAGGAGGUUAGUGCAAUGGCAUAAGCCAGCUUGACUGCGAGCGUGACGGCGCGAGCAGGUGCGAAAGCAGGUCAUAGUGAUCCGGUGGUUCUGAAUGGAAGGGCCAUCGCUCAACGGAUAAAAGGUACUCCGGGGAUAACAGGCUGAUACCGCCCAAGAGUUCAUAUCGACGGCGGUGUUUGGCACCUCGAUGUCGGCUCAUCACAUCCUGGGGCUGAAGUAGGUCCCAAGGGUAUGGCUGUUCGCCAUUUAAAGUGGUACGCGAGCUGGGUUUAGAACGUCGUGAGACAGUUCGGUCCCUAUCUGCCGUGGGCGCUGGAGAACUGAGGGGGGCUGCUCCUAGUACGAGAGGACCGGAGUGGACGCAUCACUGGUGUUCGGGUUGUCAUGCCAAUGGCACUGCCCGGUAGCUAAAUGCGGAAGAGAUAAGUGCUGAAAGCAUCUAAGCACGAAACUUGCCCCGA
rnacentral:rRNA from 1 species